AGGAAAAAGCAGAAGCUCCCGCUUCUCGCCUUGAGGACUAUUCGGUUCCCGGGCAUUUCUAAUGGAUUUCGGAAUAAAUGAAGUGAAGGAAGCGGGGGGCUUAGUAAUAAGUCUUCCGCUUUUUCUGUAUUUU
rfam:Lactobacillus capillatus DSM 19910 NODE_12, whole genome shotgun sequence.